GAAUUCGCCCUUAGAGUUUGAUCCUGGCUCAGGACGAACGCUGGCGGCGUGCCUAACACAUGCAAGUCGAGCGAUGAAGUUUUCUUCGGAAAACGGAUUAGCGGCGGACGGGUGAGUAACACGUGAGCAACCUGCCUUGUAGAGGGGGAUAGCCUUCCGAAAGGAAGAUUAAUACCGCAUAACAUGUUUUGAUCGCAUGAUCUUAACAUCAAAGUUUUUCGCUACAAGAUGGGCUCGCGGAGCAUUAGCUAAUUGGUGGUGUAAUGGACCACCAAGGCGACGAUGCUUAGCCGACCUGAGAGGGUGAUCGGCCACAUUGGGACUGAGACACGGCCCAGACUCCUACGGGAGGCAGCAGUGGGGAAUAUUGCGCAAUGGACGAAAGUCUGACGCAGCAACGCCGCGUGAGCGAUGAAGGCCUUCGGGUUGUAAAACUCUGUCUUCAGGGACGAUAAUGACGGUACCUGAGGAGGAAGCCACGGCUAACUACGUGCCAGCAGCCGCGGUAAUACGUAGGUGGCAAGCGUUGUCCGGAUUUACUGGGCGUAAAGGGUGUCUAGGCGGAAAGAUAAGUCAGAUGUGAAAUCUCGGGGCUCAACCCCGAAACUGCAUUUGAAACUGUCUAUCUAGAGUGCAGGAGAGGAGAGUGGAAUUCCUAGUGUAACGGUGAAAUGUGUAGAUAUUAGGAAGAACACCAGUGGCGAAGGCGACUCUCUGGACUGUUACUGACGCUGAAGCACGAAAGCAUGGGGAGCAAACAGGAUUAGAUACCCUGGUAGUCCAUGCCGUAAACGAUGAGAACUAGGUGUCGGGGGUCGAACCUCGGUGCCGCAGUUAACACAUUAAGUUCUCCGCCUGGGGAGUACGGUCGCAAGAUUAAAACUCAAAGGAAUUGACGGGGGCCCGCACAAGUAGCGGAGCAUGUGGUUUAAUUCGACGCAACGCGAAGAACCUUACCUAGACUUGACAUCCUGUGAAUCUGAUGGAAACAUCGGAGUGCCCUUCGGGGAACACAGUGACAGGUGGUGCAUGGUUGUCGUCAGCUCGUGUCGUGAGAUGUUGGGUUAAGUCCCGCAACGAGCGCAACCCUUAUCGUUGGUUGCUACCAUUAAGUUGAGCACUCUAGCGAGACUGCCCGGGUAACCGGGAGGAAGGUGGGGAUGACGUCAAAUCAUCAUGCCCCUUAUGUCUAGGGCUACACACGUGCUACAAUGGCUGGUACAAUGAGCUGCAAACCCGCGAGGGGGAGCCAAUCUAUAAAACCAGUCCCAGUUCGGAUUGUAGGCUGAAACUCGCCUACAUGAAGUUGGAGUUACUAGUAAUCGUGAAUCAGAAUGUCACGGUGAAUGCGUUCCCGGGCCUUGUACACACCGCCCGUCACACCAUGAGAGCCGGCAAUACCCGAAGUCCAUGAGGUAACCGAAAGGAGCCAGUGGCCGAAGGUAGGGUUGGUGAUUGGGGUGAAGUCGUAACAAGGUAACCAAGGGCGAA
rnacentral:rRNA from 1 species